rnacentral:rRNA from 1 species
UAGGGAAUCUUCCGCAAUGGGCGAAAGCCUGACGGAGCAACGCCGCGUGAGUGAUGAAGGUCUUCGGAUCGUAAAACUCUGUUAUUAGGGAAGAACAAAUGUGUAAGUAACUAUGCACGUCUUGACGGUACCUAAUCAGAAAGCCACGGCUAACUACGUGCCAGCAGCCGCGGUAAUACGUAGGUGGCAAGCGUUAUCCGGAAUUAUUGGGCGUAAAGCGCGCGUAGGCGGUUUUUUAAGUCUGAUGUGAAAGCCCACGGCUCAACCGUGGAGGGUCAUUGGAAACUGGAAAACUUGGGUGCAGAAGAGGAAAGUGGAAUUCCAUGUGUAGCGGUGAAAUGCGCAGGGCUAUGGAGGAACACCAGUGGCGAAGGCGACUUUCUGGUCUGUAACUGACGCUGAUGUGCGAAAGCGUGGAGAUCAAACAGG